AAAGUCAAUGAAGUGAAUGUGCUCGUUCUAAUAUGAUAGAACCUAUACUUUUUUCCAGGUCAGUCACAGCAGAUUGGUUGUAGUAAUGGUCGGUGGCGACAUUGUUUUGCUGUUUCAGCUGAAACCUCCCAUGGAUGCUGUUUCCAUGACGACGGAGUGGGGGAGCCUUGACCUGGAGCCCAGAUUUGUCUAUAAUAUAUUAAAUAGACAAGUAUAGUAAAAUAAAUAUAUGUAUACAGCAAUAUAUAAACAGGGUAUAAAUAGAUAAUGUGUAUUUAUAUAAUAUCAUACAUAAUCAUGCAUUUUGUAUUAGAAUUGUUGGUGGACAAAGAAUGUCAUUGCCAACAAGUGCUUCACUGUAAUUGUUCUGGAAAUAAAGAAGCUACACCUUGCUACAGAGCUUUAAAACUACUUUCUACUGAGAAGUUUUAGGCAGAUGAAUAAUAAUAAUAAUAAUAAUCUUUAUUCAUAGAGCACUUUUGAAACAAAUGUUAUAAAGUGCUUCACAAAAAAAUUAAUAAAAAGAAAAGAAAAGAAAAUACCAUACAACCCAAGUUAUUAAAUCAUCAAGAAAUCAAAAUAGAAUAAAUAAAAUGAAGGGGUCAAAAAAGUGUCAACACUCCAAACAAGGUCAUGAUGACAAUCGUUCCUUAAAUGAACCAAGUGGUUAUUCUUUUAACCGUGAUGAGGCAGGCUGUCAAACCUCAACGAAGCAGUUUCCCAGGGUAGUUUCUGUGCACAUACCUGAUCAAACCAUGGUUGUGUAAGAUCAAAUAAUGCACGCACACUUGUCACCCUUUUUUUGGAUAAAACCAAUGAGAUUAUUUCCACUCUAACACUUCAGCCUCACACAGAUAUAUAGAUAGAUAGAUAUUUGUAGAUAUACAAUUCAAACCUGCUGCUGCCUCAACACCAGAAAUAAUUCAAACAGGAGGAGGAAGUACUGACCUACAUCAUGUCUUAGCUGUAUUUCAGUAUGAUGCUGUGACAGUCAGCAGCAAGACAUCAUGGCUGUUACAGCUCUCUGCAUCAGACUGCUGAUGGAUGUGUUUGUCUUGCUGGCUACACAAGCUGACUAUAGUUACUUUGCUCAGAGAGCUGAUGCAGCGUUUCCUCGUAUUUCUCCAGACAGACUGCAGUUCUUUGAAUAUGAGACUCUCACUAUAAGUUGUGAAGAGUUUGGAGGCUUGAGUGAAUGGAGAGUGAUGAGGAAGCUCAACAAAAUAACUCCAACAGAGUCUUACAACUGGAAGUCAUCAGCAGCCUCCUGCACCAUUCAUCCUACCUUUAAAAGACAGCGGAGAAUACUGGUGUGAAGAUGCAGAGGGAAACCAGAGUGAUGUCCUCAACAUCUCCAUCACUGAUUUCUACAAAGAUGGUGUCAAAUUAGGGACCUGGUAUGAAAACAACAUGACCAUCCACAAUGUUUCCAAGUCUGAUGAAGGACUGUACAAGUGCAGAAUCUCUGGAGCUGGAGAAUCACCAGAGAGUUGGCUGUCUGUUUUAAAUCAAAGUAAAACAGCUUACGAAGAGACUCGUCCUUCCAACAGUGACUCUCGUCCUUCCAACAGUGACUCUCUUAAUCUUUCCUCCCUGCUGUGGACUGCUGUGUUUGCAGCUCUGGGGCUGUUGGCGAUGGGACUACAUGUCUGCAGGAAACACAGAGAGCCAGACGUGUCCGGAGCAGAUACCAAGCCACAAUUACCAGAUGAGAGUGUUUAUUCUACAGUCUACUACAGGCCGAUGACACCUGACUGAAGGACUGAGAAGAUGGUCUGUUGUAUUUUUCUUAGCACGAAAGGAAGUCAUACUGUACAGUAUUUUUUAAAUAUAUUUUUAACAACGUUUUUAAAAAUGUAAACAUAUAUGUGAAAUAGAUUUCAAAGCACAUUUGGUUGUCUUUUGAUUAUGAAUACUGCAUUUUUUAUCAUAAAUGACUGGUAAAUCUUUUAAGCACUUUGUUGUUUGCAAAAUACAAUCACUAUCAGAAGUACACUGACUGAAAGAGAGUAAUGACUGAAGUUUAUAAUGCAGCUGUUUAGAUCAGUUUUCUGGAGGUAAACAACAGCUUAGUCUUCAAUGCCAUGAAAGCAUUUCAGAAGAAGAGGGCGCAACAAGAUGAUGAAACAACAAUAAAAAAUGUGAAACUU